rnacentral:rRNA from 1 species
UCGAGCGGACAGAUGGGAGCUUGCUCCCUGAUGUUAGCGGCGGACGGGUGAGUAACACGUGGGUAACCUGCCUGUAAGACUGGGAUAACUCCGGGAAACCGGGGCUAAUACCGGAUGGUUGUUUGAACCGCAUGGUUCAAACAUAAAAGGUGGCUUCGGCUACCACUUACAGAUGGACCCGCGGCGCAUUAGCUAGUUGGUGAGGUAACGGCUCACCAAGGCGACGAUGCGUAGCCGACCUGAGAGGGUGAUCGGCCACACUGGGACUGAGACACGGCCCAGACUCCUACGGGAGGCAGCAGUAGGGAAUCUUCCGCAAUGGACGAAAGUCUGACGGAGCAACGCCGCGUGAGUGAUGAAGGUUUUCGGAUCGUAAAGCUCUGUUGUUAGGGAAGAACAAGUGCCGUUCAAAUAGGGCGGCACCUUGACGGUACCUAACCAGAAAGCCACGGCUAACUACGUGCCAGCAGCCGCGGUAAUACGUAGGUGGCAAGCGUUGUCCGGAAUUAUUGGGCGUAAAGGGCUCGCAGGCGGUUUCUUAAGUCUGAUGUGAAAGCCCCCGGCUCAACCGGGGAGGGUCAUUGGAAACUGGGGAACUUGAGUGCAGAAGAGGAGAGUGGAAUUCCACGUGUAGCGGUGAAAUGCGUAGAGAUGUGGAGGAACACCAGUGGCGAAGGCGACUCUCUGGUCUGUAACUGACGCUGAGGAGCGAAAGCGUGGGGAGCGAACAGGAUUAGAUACCCUGGUAGUCCACGCCGUAAACGAUGAGUGCUAAGUGUUAGGGGGUUUCCGCCCCUUAGUGCUGCACGUAACGCAUUAAGCACUCCGCCUGGGGAGUACGGUCGCAAG